rnacentral:rRNA from 1 species
AUGCUAAAACUCUAUAUGCCAUUCGGUGAAAAAAGAAAUUUGCCUAAAGAGAAGCUCGCGUCUGAUUAGCUAGUUGGCAGGGUAAAGGCCUACCAAGGCGACGAUCAGUAGCUGGUCUGAGAGGACGAUCAGCCACACUGGAACUGAAACACGGUCCAGACUCCUACGGGAGGCACCAGUGAUGAAUUUUCUGCAAUGGGCGAAAGCCUGACAGAGCAAUACCGCGUGAGGGAUGAAGGCCUAUGGGUUGUAAACCUCUUUUCUCAAGGAGGAAGAUCUGACGUUACUUGAGGAAUAAGCAUCGGCUAACCCUGUGCCAGCAGCCGCGGUAAUACAGGGGAUGCAAGUGUUAUCCGGAUUCAUUGGGCGUAAAGCGUCUGCAGGUUGAUAUUUAAGUCUUUUGUUAAAACUUCGGGCUCAACCCGAAAUCUGCAAAAGAAACUAUGUAUCUUGAGUAUGGUAGAGGUAAAGGGAAUUUCCAGUGGAGCGGUGAAAUGCGUAGAGAUUGGAAAGAACACCAACAGCGAAGGCACUCUACUGGGCCAGUACUGACACUGAGAGACGAAAGCUAGGGGAGCAAACGGGAUUAGAUACCCCGGUAGUCCUAGCUGUAAACGAUGGAUACUAGAUGUUGCGCAUUUUUUAAAUGUGCAGUGACGUAGCUAACGCGUUAGUAUCCCGCCUGGGAAGUAUGCUCGCAAGAGUGAA